UAACCUUUUGUAAUCAUUAUCGUUGGAUCAAUAAAGAUAGAUCUCAUAGUUAUCAACAGCUUUCCCUCUUUUCCUUCUUUGCUCUUACAAGUACGGAACAAUAUAUCAAAGAUGUAAGCUUAUCAUUUACAUUUGAUGUCUGUUAAUCAUCUUAAGAAAUGUUAUAUAAGCUCGGUCUCUUUCGAUUCUCAUAUUCAAUAUGUUUAGAUCUAGAGUUAAUUAUAUUUGGCUAAGAUUUACCCUUCGUUUCUUUAUUAAUUGAUUUAACGAAAAGCUUUGCACUUUUCGGUUUCAACAUAUACUCAUCAUAAUCCAAAAUUGACUCCUCGUAUCGAUGGAUGGAUUGAUUUAGCGGUUAAACUUAACGUCAAGGUACUGCAACUGCAUUUUUCUGGUAAUUACUAUAGUUUACCUGAUGCAAUUUAUACUGCUAAAGGGCUGAUAGAUCUGACACUAAGUAAUUGCAAGUUUGAAUUUGAUACUAUUAUCACCACAAACAACAUCAUAAGAUUCUGUAAUCAUAAAUAUCUUUAUUUAGAUGAAGUCUAUCUCAGAAGAGUCCAGGCUCCAAAUCUUCGAAGCUUUGAAUAUGGAGAGGAGAAUUGGGAAAUUGGUAAUGUGGAUGCUUAUAAUAACUUACAAAUACUCAAACUGAGAACUACCAACAUCACAGACCAACAACUUCAACAUCAGUUCGCUAAAUACUCAAACAUUUCAGAAUUGGAAUCAAUAUUUUGCGAUAGCCUGAAAAAUAUUGAUAUCGUGAGUGAAAAACUCAAGAGUUGACCUUAGCACGGUGCAAGAAUCUAGAAAAAGUCAAGAUUCAAGCUCCAAAUAUAACAGAAUUCUAUUUUAGGGGUGACACAAUGCCCUUGUUAUCUAUGGAUCCUUCUACACUUGAAAGAGCCACACUCGAUUUUUACUUCCCGAGCACAAUAAGAACAAUCUUUGGAGUUGUGGAUGCUACUUGGUUCACCAAUCCUCUAUCACUUUGUUCAAAAGUUCAACUAUUCUGAAGGCCGGAUAUUGGUAAUAACUUGCAGGCAGAAUGGGAUCAUCCUUAUUUAUGAAGAUCCAAGAGAAAUUAUCAUUCAUAGAUGAUUUAAUGUCCUUGGGUUUCGGGCAGCCAGCGAUCAUGUCCAUACUUACAAGUACAAAUAGCAAACUACUCCAGGUGCUGCCUACGUUAAUAGGAUGUCCAGAAGAGCAAAAUUCCAGUAAAGAAUGCACAUUUCAUACUGAGUUUUGUUUGGCAAAGUGAACUAAAAGAAGUCAACAAUUUUAUAGACACAACUAGGAGGAAAUGACCACCCUUCUGUAUAAUUCUUGGUUGAAAUCGACACCUCUGAUUGACCAAAUGACUACUUUCAUGUUCAAAUGGAAAAAACCAAGCUUAGCCGACUGGCCAUUCGAGUGGUAAGCGCGGCUUCCAAAGAGGUGGCCUUAGGUCUCGACUUGACUCUUUAUGAGGGUUCUGAUAGUCCUCGCCCUCUCUCUCAACUCCCUGCUCGAGCUAUUAAGCAGGGAGUGGAUGGAGAGGGCAAGUAUACCAUCAUUUAGAGUUAGUGGGUUCAGACGUCAGUUGGUAUGAUUUACUAUUACAUACUAUGUUUUUUAUUUUUUUUUAUUUUGUUUGCAUAGUUCCAUCUGAAUACAGGAAGACUCAUUUGAACUUACUAAAUCCAUCCUUGAUUUAACCAGA